UGGUUUGAUGGGCCGGCCCGAAGAAGCCGGGCCCAUCUAUAAAAUACGAUCGUGCCCUAGGCACGAUCGUGGAAGGGGAAACACAGAGAGAGGGGGGUGGGGCGGCGGCGUGAGGGGAGGUCGGUCGUCGGGGGAGGCGACUCGCCGGAGGGGAUCGAGCGCCGGAGAGGGAGAUCCGGCCGGCCGCGGUGAAGCCCUCCUCCUUCCUUUGGUGUGAGAACCCUCCGCUAGUUGCUCACAAGUUCUUCCGUCGGUUCCUCGCCGGAAACAUCACCGGAGCACCUCGUCGGGCUGAGAGGAAGAGUCGGUGGUGCCAGGAGAUUUUGAUCAGGGGACUCAGCAUCCCAGCGCGCAGGUUGUGAUUCGGAUCCAUGUUUGAGUCAAUCUACAAUCUCUAGUUGCAGGAUGCAUAGUUUUGGAUGGGAUGGGCGCAGAGUGCGAGCACCAGAGUCAUUAGUUAGUUAGUUGUUUAUCCUUCUUUGAUGUCGAUGAACAUUUGAAGAGCUUGUAAAUGAACUAAUUUGUUUAUUUUGGACAUGUCGGACUGCUCUAUUUGAAUUACUAGAUUAA